UAUUUACUGUAUACUCAUGGUAUACCCUUGUAAUAGGCUAUGAUGAUUGCUGAUGUCUGAGCCCACAUUUAUUUCGUUUUGGGCCGGCUCACCCGACCCGACCCAAUAGUGAAUUGUAUAUAUAAUAUAGGGUCAGAUAUUUUAGAUAGGGGAGUUCAUUUGUGUUUAAUAAAAUUUGUCUCUGGAUCUUCUCGAUCCUUCUCUCAACUACCCCUUUCUCUCUCUUGUUUCUCUCACUAUAUUUUCCAUGAUUCUUCAGUUUAAUCCUAAUGUUUUCAUGGUAUCAAAGCCUAGACGAUGAUCCGACUAUGUUUUUCUGCAUCUUGUUAUCUUGGUUGAAGUCUCGUUUUGAGAUUUUUGGGGGUGUUUCUGACGCAUGUGGUCGAUGACGAUUCCGAUCUAAAUCGGAUGCUUUUCUGAGACUUUCAUCGUGAUAUCUGAG
rnacentral:lncRNA from 1 species